rnacentral:rRNA from 1 species
AAAAGAAAUUCGGUGCAGGAUGAGUCUGCGUCUGAUUAGCUAGUUGGAGGGGUAAGAGCCCACCAAGGCAACGAUCAGUAGCCGGCCUGAGAGGGCGACCGGCCACAUUGGGACUGAGACACGGCCCAAACUCCUACGGGAGGCAGCAGUGGGGAAUAUUGCACAAUGGGGGAAACCCUGAUGCAGCGACGCCGCGUGAGCGAGGAAGUAUUUCGGUAUGUAAAGCUCUAUCAGCAGGGACGAAAAAAGACGGUACCUGACUAAGAAGCCCCGGCUAACUACGUGCCAGCAGCCGCGGUAAUACGUAGGGGGCAAGCGUUAUCCGGAUUUACUGGGUGUAAAGGGAGCGUAGACGGCAAGGCAAGCCAGAAGUGAAAGGGCAGGGCUCAACCCUGUACAUGCUUUUGGAACUGUGGUGCUAGAGUGCAGGAGAGGUAAGUGGAAUUCCUAGUGUAGCGGUGAAAUGCGUAGAUAUUAGGAGGAACACCAGUGGCGAAGGCGGCUUACUGGACUGUAACUGACGUUGAGGCUCGAAAGCGUGGGGAGCAAACAGGAUUAGAUACCCUGGUAGUCCACGCUGUAAACGAUGAAUACUAGGUGUUGGGGGCUGAAGCCUUCG